rnacentral:rRNA from 1 species
UAAGGUGGUCGACGAAUAAGAGCUGGGCAAGACCGGUGCCAGCCGCCGCGGUAAUACCGGCAGCUCGAGUGAUGUCCAAUAUUAUUGGGCCUAAAGCGUCCGUAGCUGGCCGCGCAAGUCCGUCGGGAAAUCCACCUGCCCAACAGGUGGGCGUCCGGCGGAAACUGCGUGGCUUGGAACCGGAAGGCUCAGAGGGUACGUCCGGGGUAGGAGUGAAAUCCCGUAAUCCCGGACGGACCACCGAUGGCGAAAGCACUCUGAGAAGACGGCUUCGACAGUGAGGGACGAAAGCUAGGGUCUCAAACCGGAUUAGAUACCCGGGUAGUCCUAGCUGUAAACGAUGCUCGUUAGGUGUGGCACCCACUACGAGUGGGUGCUGUGCCGCAGGGAAGCCGCUAAACGAGCCGCCUGGGAAGUACGUCCGCAAGGAUGAAACUUAAAGGAAUUGGCGGGGGAGCACUACAACCGGAGGAGCCUGCGGUUUAAUUGGACUCAACGCCGGAAAUCUCACCAGCCCCGACAUCAGUAAUGACGGUCAUGUUGACGACAUCUGCCCGAGCUGAUGAGAGGAGGUGCAUGGCCGCCGUCAGCUCGUACCGCGAGGCAUCCUGUUAAGUCAGGCAACGAGCGAGAUCCACGUCCCUAAUUGCCAGCACCACCGCCAGGUGGGUGGGUACAUUAGGGAGACUGCCAGUGCUAAACUGGAGGAAGGAAUGGGCAACGGUAGGUCAGUAUGCCCCGAAUGGGCUGGGCAACACGCGGGCUACAAUGGGCAGGACAAUGGGUUCCAACACCGAGAGGUGGAGGUAAUCUCAGAAACCUGCUCGUAGUUCGGAUUGCGGACUGAAACUCGUCCGCAUGAAGCUGGAUUCGGUAGUAAUCGCGUGUCAGCAGCGCGCGGUGAAUACGUCCCUGCUCCUUGCACACACCGCCCGUCAAAGCACCCGAGUGAGGUCCGGAUGAGGCCACAUU